ACCAACACAGUAGACUUUCUCCUACUCCAAUUGCUUUUCUUUACGUUUCAGUCAUCACACAUUUUUCCCAUUUUCCUCCAGAAAAAGUGUCUUUUGAGAUAAAAAUCUUAGUUCUUAGUCAUAGAAAAGCCUUAUCAAGUCACCUUAAACAAUGUCUGCAAAGAAACAAAAAAGUGACACGGUGUUUUGGUACAAAUGUGAGAAAUGCGGUGUGCACAUAACCUCAAAGAAGACAGCUUCCCAUCCAAAGAUCUGCCCAAUUUCUGAAAAAUCCACAAAUACCAGCUUUAUCUCUGCCUCUUGUCUCUAUACAAAUGAAGUGGAAGGUAUUCCAGUGCCUGACACAAUCGCUAGUUUGGAUUCUUCCCAGAUAUCCAAAUUGCUGUUCAUCGGAAGCUCAGCAAUGACGCUCUGUGGAUGGGCAUCCGGAGAUGAGGUUCUGAUAACAAUCCCAAAGGACCAAGCUUUUGUUCCUCGGAUCAGAAAGGUGUUUGCCCAAUCAGUAGAUUCCUACUCAUCAGUCUGUUUUGCAGAAAAUGAAUUCACCCAGAACUGGUUAGAAUACCAUGGGAAGCAGUUAAAGAUUUCUGCAAUACCCUCGGAAAUAUUCCCUGCAGAAAAGGUUGAAUUUUGCCUGCGGGAAGGGCAGGAAAUUGACGAGGAACAUGCGAAAGAUUUACUUCAGAGCCUGAAAUUUGAUUUGGGCAGUUGGGUAAUUUUCAGAGGAUCCCAGCAUUCUCUGAAAUUUUUUGGUAGAAUUUACAAUUUUGAAGUAAAAUCUGUGAAUUCGGAGGAUAUUGUCGAGAAGCUGAGGAAUUUGAAUCUCAGGCGAGAAGGGGAUUGUUUGGAAUUCUUCCGGAUAAAUUACAGAAGUGAGUUUUCCCUUGCUACGGGAUGUGUUAGGAAGGGGAAAGAGGAAGGAAGUGGAGAAAGUGAACAAGUGGUGAUUGGAGGAAUGGAUAAGUUGAUAGAAGAUGCGAGGGAGUUGAUGAAGUCAGCGUUUGGGGAAGUUCCCGGGAGGAAAAUGAGAAUUCCCCAUGGGAUUUUAUUUCACGGUCCUGCGGGAUGUGGAAAAAGUCUGAUUUGCAAUUUUCUGGCGGGGACAGCAAAUUCCAAAGUGGUUACGGUCAAUCCUCAUAGGAUUUUUAGUAAAUUUUUGGGGGAAGCUGAAGUGAGUCUCAAUAGACUGUUCCAGGAAGCUCUGAAGAACUUCCCAGAUCCUACUGUCAUCGUUAUCGAUGACAUUCACAUUCUCUGUCCAAGGAAUGAGUCCACGGAUGCUGUCAGGCGAGUUUCUGCCACUCUGCUGAAGCUUCUCGAUGAACUGCCCUUCCGGAAGGAUGGUAGCAGGAUCUUUGUGUUAGCUGCCACGACAGAUUUGGAAAAAACUAAUCCUGCUCUUCGGCGCAGUGGCCGCCUUGAUUGCACAAUGGAGAUUUCUGUGCCCACUCCUGACCAGAGGCACGAUAUCCUCAGGAAAUUACUGGACAGUGUACCCAAUGGAAUCCGGGAAGAAGAUAUCCGGAAGCUGUCUAAAGGGACUCAUGCUUUUGUCGGAGCAGAUUUAUCAGCCUUGGUGGGCAAGGCGGUUGGGAAUGCGGCAAAAAGAAAUGCCCAGGUUUCCCUGAAUGAUCUCAAUUGGGCUCUCAGCUCAGUCAGUCCCAGUGCAAUGAAGGAAGUUCUGAUUGAGGUGCCCAAUGUCCGUUGGGAAGACAUUGGGGGGCAGCAUGAGUUGAAAUUGAAGCUGAAGCAGGCAAUUGAGUGGCCACUGACGAAUCCUGAGAUCUUUCCCAGAUUCGGAAUUGAUCCUCCGAGGGGUGUUCUGAUGUACGGUCCUCCAGGAUGUUCAAAAACCAUGAUAGCUAAGGCUCUGGCCACAGAGAGCCGGCUGAAUUUCCUCACGAUCAAGGGACCAGACAUCUUUUCAAUGUGGGUCGGUGAAUCCGAAAGAGCCGUCCGGGAGUUGUUCCGGAAGGCUCGUAGCGUGGCUCCUUCGAUUAUUUUCUUCGACGAAAUUGACGCAAUUGGAGCUGAACGGGGUUCAGAUUCCGGAUCGUCAGUCAAGGAACGCGUCCUGGCACAAUUACUCACCGAAUUGGAUGGAGUCACAUCUCUGGACAAUGUGACAAUCGUCGCAGCGACCAAUCGUCCCGAUCUCAUCGAUAGGGCUCUACUUCGUCCAGGACGUAUUGACAGAAUCAUCUUCGUGGGACUCCCAGACACAAACACUCGCCGGGAGAUUUUCUCAAUAAAACUGAAGAAGAUGCCCGUAGGCAAGGAUUGCAGUGUUGAAAAGUUAGUUGAACUCACGGAAAACUAUUCAGGAGCAGAAAUUCAGGCCAUUUGCAGAGAAGCUGGAAUUUCUGCCCUGGAAGAAUCUUUGGAAGCGACAGAAGUUUCCUGGAGACACUUUCAGCGGGCAUUGAAUCUGAUAAGGCCCAGAACGAGCCAGGAAUUGCUGAAAAUCUACAAAGAGUACGAGAAGGACUUUCAGGCGCAGCAAUAGUACCUCUUUCCAAAGAAAUGGUCUAUGCGGAUAAAUAGAUGGCGCAAUUCGAACGGAAAACGAGGAACGACGUGGCAGGGGAUUUAGUUUAAGAUGAACCGUGACACGAGCAAGAUGUUAUAUGAAAUUGACACAAUUAAAUUGUUCAUAAAGUAUCCAAAAAAUGUGGUGUACUUGGUGCUAACGAAGGAGAGAAUGCUUGAACAGAGUCAAAGAGGAGGAAUCGAAAUAAAAGUGUGGCGAGACACAUUUUAAUAGUGUUGUCAAAGAAGUGAUAUAAAAAAAAAGUUUAAAUAAAAAAAAUCAGAGACAAUAUACAAAAAAAAGUGAGAGAGAUAUCUUAUCUAUUUAAGAAGUAAAAGAAGCAACUGCAAGUGUGUGGCAAAGUGAGAAAAAUUUUCACCUGAAAAAAGUGACAAUUUUUGUGCAAGUGUACUCCCAUGAUAUAUUUGCUAUUUCAACACCCAAAGAGAUUGCCAGUGAAUGAAAGUGGGGGAAGAUGUUAAUUCUCGUGAAUUACAUGAGUUUCUGGAGCUUCAGAAAAAGGAGGUAUUGUCGUUGAAAAAAUAAAAUUUCUUCUGGUGAAUUACUUCUUCUGAGAGACAACAAACAACGGUCGAAAGAAAGCAGCUGGAGGAGAGAGAAUUUUGUUGUCGUGGUCUUUUUGGUUCUUUUUGUUGUUGUUGCUGUAUUCUGGUGUUCCUCCAAAAAAGGGGGAUUGCACAACGGUGAAACAUCUUGAAGUUGACGAAAGCCAGGCUGAAAAGACGCGGAAGACGCGAUUUGACGGUGGUUUGGAAGAAAAGAACGAGGGAAGAAGAAGUACGUGAAUUGAUUGAAGAAGGAGGGAUCAAGUAAAAAAUGAUUACAAAUCAACCUCAUUCAUCCAUUUUCAAUAUUGUGAUACUGCUCCUGUGGCUGAUGACCGGCAGUGAAUGUGGUCAUCACCCUCAAAGUCACCAGCACAGCCACAAUCACUACCACGAGCACCGGCAUCACCAUCAUCAGUUGCAAUCGGGUGUUGAUGAUCGUGGCAAUUUUACAGCUGCUCACCGUCACAAGAGGCCACUGUUCAAUGAAAAGACAGAUCGCGAACGCAUCCAGGAGGCAGUUCGUGCUCUAAGGCAGCCCGUGCAUAGAUUGCACAUCAAAACCUCCACUCCACGUGCCAGUAUUAUUUCCCCAACAGAAGCCACCCAUCAUCACAGACUGAGGCACCAUUAUGAUCAUCAUAGGUGGCGACAGGAGACCACCAGAUCACCCACGUCGUCUCAUGCCAGACAUCAGGUGCCGUGGUGGGGCGUAGACUCCCCGUCCAGCGACGCCAGGAAGCAUCAACGCUGGCCACAGCACAGCAAAGGCUACAGCAGCCACAGUCGAAAUCACGAUCGGAGCCACUCGAGGCAUCACGAUCGUAUGGAUCGGGAAGAGAUUCACUACCACACAACCUCCAUCCGGCCGGUGAGGGCUUCUCCGCGGGGAAGUCCCGGAGAGGCGAUUACCACUGGCAGACACAGAGCGGCGAGUCUGCUGCUAAAGUCAAAUGAACGGUCAUCGCGAAUGGGUCAUGGGGUCAGUGAUAAGAGGACCUAUGACGAUGACGAAUACCACGAUGAUGAGGAGCAAGUGGAGAGCCUGAGAAAUUCCACAACAUUCUACACUUCACAGAGGCGAAGAUCCUAUGUAAGUGAAUUUUCCUCAAUAUCUUGCAUAAUUCUAUUUUUACUCAUCCAUCUGUGUAUAUGAUUUUCAAACACUGACUCACGGUUUUAGCACAAAUCAUCAACUCCACUAUUUUCCAAUAUUAAAUCUGACAUACAAUGACAAAUUGAUUAGCAAUCAAUUUGAACAUUAAAUGUUUGAUGUUGAAUUAAUAACAUUUCACUUUGUGGCAAAUUCUCGGAAAACUAAUUGGAAUCAUUCUGUCUCACAAAAAAUAAUCAAAGAGUUUCAUUAACCCUUGGUUGCUACCAAAAAAUCGAACUUGGGUUUAAGAAACAAAACUAAUUUAAAAGGAACCUGUUUAAUAAAUCCCACUUCUGAUAAUAAUGAAAAAAUCAAGCAGUUCAGAUCAGUUGAUUUUCCACCAAUACGUUCUUCGCCGUCUUAGCGUUGAUUUCGACCUCCGAAACUAAACGAUGAACAAACACUUUCAUUGUUUCUAUGGUUGAUUGUUAACAAGAAACGAAUAAAACCAAAUAAAAAAUAUAAAUAAAUACCAAAAAUCAAUAAUUUCUACUAAAAAA